CACUACGUACUGUCACUUUGUAAUUAUUCUCCUUCCAUAAUAACUAAAUCCUCCUGUUGUAGUGGGAGGAAUGGUUUGUAAUGAACUUCCAACCUCCAAAGAUCUUAUCAGCCACCAUUUGUACUCUAUUUAAUUUUAUUUUAGUCUCUACAAGACCAACCAUUUCAGCUUUCAAAUCACCACAAAGGAGUUUCACCUCUUUCUAUUUUGAGAGGCCAUUAAGGCCUCUCACAUUCCAGCAUAGCAGCUUAACUAUCCCUCCAAGGGAUAGUAUUUUUCCCACCCCC
rnacentral:lncRNA from 1 species